GACGAACGCUGGCGGCGCGCUUAACACAUGCAAGUCGAGCGAAGCGGCGGACGGGUGAGUAACACGUGAGUAACCUGCCUUAGACAUUGGGAUAGCCUCGGGAAACCGGGAUUAAUACCAAAUGGUCUAAGAUGGACUAGCGUCCCAUUAGCUCGUUGGUGAGGUAACGGCCCACCAAGGCGACCAUGGGUAGCCGGCCUGGGAAGGUGAACGGCAACAUUGGAAGUGAGAAACGGUCCAAACUCUACGGGAGGCAGCAGUGGUGAAUAUUGCACAAUGGAGGGGACUCUGAUGCAGCGACGCCGCGUGAACGAAGAAGGCUUGCGAGUCGUAAAGUUCUUUUAUAUGGGAAGCGGUACCAUAAGAAAAAGCCCCGGCUAACUACGUGCCAGCCGCCGCGGUAAUUC
rnacentral:rRNA from 1 species